GGAUUCUACCGUCGGUCGGGCUAACAAGUCUGUACUGGUGUGUAGAAUUUCUACCUUCUGGGGAACCAUCAUGUUAUUAAUUUAGCGUGGUGGGAAACCAGAACCUUUACCUUGAAAAAAUUAGAGUGUUCAAAGCAGGCUUACGUCUGAAUACAUUAGCAUGGAAUAAUAAAAUAGGACGGCAUGGUUCUAUUUUGUUGGUUUCUAGGAUCACCGUA
rnacentral:rRNA from 1 species